rnacentral:lncRNA from 1 species
GUCAGCAGAAUAAGAUCUCCAGAUCCGUAACAGUCGUGCUUUACUAAAAUACAGCAGAAACAUAACAAGAGAGCAACCGGUUAUGAUAUAUUCCGAGCUUUACCUCAUAGGAUUUGUUAUCUUUAGCCGAUCUCAAUGUCCAAAACGCGAAGUAUGUCAUGCACCGAAAUAUGAUAGAAUGUAAUGUUUGAACGUUGAACAGUAAAUAAAAUUUAUGUAAGUAGAGUUUGUAAACUGAUGUGACAGUUUACAGUUGCGUUAUAUUGUUGCAAACCUCACAACAGACUUUGUGAUAUGUUACUGCCACCUUCCACCGACUUUGUUUAUCUAAGACACUGAUUGGUACAACCUUAGACCGAGCAACACCAAGAGUUACUAUAUAUAGAUUAUAGUUGUUUAACAAACACAGAGAUUACGAACUUAGGACCCAUGCUUCACCCAUAUUGUCGUGAAAGCCUUUUUCUCUUUCUUUUUGUUUGUUUCUGAGUUUCUCAGAUGUGGGAGAUGAUAAGAAUCUCCACUUAUUACAGAGAUCCUCAUAUGUUUAAUCAACCACAAAAGAUAUUAGAGCCUAUAUAUGAUGGAUGUCCAUCUCGUCCAAAAUCACCAACCUUCUUUUUCAUCAAGUGCUUGCUUUUGAUUUUUACAGCUGCAGAAGACUAGCAGCUUAUACAGCUCUUCCCCAUUACACCAUUUAAUUCUUUGAGGUGAGGAGGAUUUGAUUGUUUGAGGUGUUCUUUUUUUCUUUCUUGUUCUGAAGUUGAAUGGAAUUGAAUCAUGUGGUUCUCUUUUUCUGAAGUAGUAUUUCACAUAUGUGUUUUCUCAGAUGAGCUCAUAACCCUCGUUGCUUUUUUUUGGUCAAACAUAAUCUCAUUGCUUGGACAUGAAUGAUUGGCAGUCUGUUUUGCUUUCUUCCAUACUUUCUAGUUCUGUUAUAUAGAUAUACAGAUAUCAUAAGCUAUGGGAAUUGAGGUGAUUGACAGUUUCAACCUUGCCUAGCUGAUACAAGUUGUGUUUUAUAUUGUUUGAUCAAGUUUCCAAUGAAAUGAUGCAUUGCUGUUUCACAUUCAUGACAUGACCUUGUAUAUAUAACCAAUAGUCUUAUUGUUAAUUGGUUUUCCUGUUUAGGGCCUCUAAGAUUUUGAGCUUCUUAAGUUGUAAACAUGGCAAUGGCUUCUUCUGUCAAAGUGGUUCUAGGCUCCAUUGCCUUUGCAAUCUUCUGGAUGUUGGCGGUGUUUCCAGCUGUCCCUUUUCUUCCCAUUGGGAGGACAGCAGGGUCUCUUUUAGGGGCAAUGCUGAUGGUUGUGUUCCGAGUCCUAACUCCGGAUCAAGCCUAUGCUGCUAUUGAUCUCCCAAUUCUUGGCCUUUUGUUUGGGACAAUGGUUGUAAGUAUAUAUCUUGAAAGAGCAGAUAUGUUUAAGUAUUUGGGGAAGUUGCUCUUAUGGAAAAGCCAAGGAGCAAAGGACUUGAUAUGUAGGGUCUGUUUGAUUUCUGCCAUUUCAAGUGCUCUUUUCACCAAUGACACCUCUUGUGUGGUUUUGACUGAGUUUGUACUAAAAGUUGCAAGACAACAUAACUUACCGCCUCAUCCAUUCCUGCUUGCACUUGCUUCCAGUGCAAAUAUUGGGUCUGCAGCUACCCCAAUUGGCAAUCCUCAAAACCUGGUUAUAGCUGUUCAGAGUAACAUUCCUUUUGGAAAGUUUGUUGUAGGAAUUUUCCCUGCAAUGCUUGUAGGAGUUUGUGUGAAUGCUUUACUUCUUUUGUGUAUGUACUGGAAGUUGUUGUCUAUCCAGAAGGAUGUGGAAGAUGCAACUGGAGAUGUUGUCGCGGAGGAGGAUGUGAGUUCUCAUCGGUUUUCACCAGCCACACUAUCACAUUGUGCAUCCUUCAACUCUGAGGAGCUGAACUCUAGACUAGAAGCCAGGAGUGUGCUAGUUUCUCCAGUUGUUGAAAAUCUUAGGAACCGUGUGCCUUCAACUGAGGCUGAAAUCAAGAGGGUUUCUAGCACUGGUGCUUUUGAGUCUGCAAGAAGUUCAAGUGCAUCGAAGACUGAGGAGACAAAUGAUUUGGCUUCCCAGAAAAAGGAGGAAACAGUUGCUCCAAAAAGGGCUCCAUCAAAGGAAAAACCUAGAGAUACUUGUACUGCUACAGAGGCUUUGGAAGGAAAGGAAACAAUGACCACAAAAUGGAGAAGGAUGUUGUGGAAAUCUGGCGUUUAUCUUGUUACAAUAGGAAUGUUGAUUGCACUUCUUUUGGGCCUAAACAUGUCAUGGUGUGCGAUUACUGCUGCACUUGCACUAGUCGUUCUUGAUUUCAAGGAUGCUCGGCCAAGCCUAGAAAAGGUACAUUUGAGAAAAUUGGUAAUUUUAACGUAUAGAUUACAACUGUUGAUAAGUUUCUAACCAAUGACCCUCAUGAUUUCUCUUAUUUGACCAGGUAUCCUAUUCCCUUUUAAUUUUCUUUUGUGGUAUGUUUAUAACUGUGGAUGGCUUCAACAAAACCGGCAUUCCAAGCGCUCUUUGGGACUUCAUGGAGCCCCAUGCAAAAAUUGAUCAUGUUGGCGGGAUAGCAGUUCUUGCUGUUACCAUACUUCUACUAUCAAAUGUGGCCUCAAAUGUGCCAACUGGUAAUGCUGAUGUUUUCUCCCAUGUAUAAACUUCUUUAUUACUGGUUUUAUGAUAAUGUUGGUCUGUUUGAUGAGGUAACGUUCUAGAAUCAAGAGUUGUUGCGUCGUAUAACUACUCUUAACUGUCUGAAAACUCGUAUUGGUUAUUAUAGACGUGCAUAUGUUUGUGUUACCUAAUGCUUGAUCUCAGUGUGAUUGGCCUUCUGCUGGAAUCCCUUCACAAGGGACUGAAUAUUGUAGUUGCUAGAAGAUAAGGAUAUCUGCAAAACUAAAUCUUCUUUGAUUAGGCAAGUGCUCUCAGGUACUGAUGAAGAAUGAAGCACCAAGUUUCAUCAAUUUGUAAUUAACAUUAGAAUCACAAAAUAGUCUCAUAAGUCAUAAGUCAUAACACAAAUUGAGUCACAAGUUAGAUGUGAACCAUACUACUCAUGAGCCUAGUGUAACAGUAGUCUUGCAAGAUUGGUCACUUUCAUUUCCAUGCCUGCAGAACUUAGGUAUUUAUGAGAGCGGUUAAGUGCUGAUCAGACUGUGAACAUGUUCUUUUUGUGCAGUUCUCUUGCUUGGAGGACGAGUGGCAGCAUCCGCGGCUUUAAUAUCAGUAGCGGAUGAGAAGAAGGCAUGGCUGCUUCUAGCUUGGGUGAGCACGGUUGCAGGAAACCUCUCACUUUUGGGAUCAGCAGCCAACUUGAUAGUAUGUGAACAGGCUCGGCAAGCUCCACACCUUGCAUACAAUUUGUCAUUCUGGAGCCAUCUCAAGUUUGGGGUGCCCUCCACUAUCAUAGUCACUGCUAUUGGUUUGACACUGAUAAGAUGACACUGUUGGUGAUGCAAGGUAUGGUUGUAUCUUUCUUUCUUGUUUUUUUUUUUCUUUUUUUUUUUUUGUUUGAUAAAAAGCUUAGGUUGUAUCACUUGUAUUGUAUGUAUAGCGUUUUGGUUCAAGGAAUGAAAGAAAGAAGUUUGAAGGGUAUUUAUUGGGCUGGAAUAUUGAAUUUGGGGCCUUCACCUCAACGAAAAUUAUACAGCGCACCCGGGUGCGCCGCGCACCCGUCCAUCUCCGCCGUCCAUUUUGAAAAAGUCAAAAGUCCGCGUCAAAUGGACGGGUGCGCUGAAUACGCUCUCUCAGCUCAAGCUGAAAGGGGUAUACUUGGCUGAUUUGGAAACAAACAAGCUGCUUAGUUUCACAAUAUGAAUCGUUACACUCUCACAAUCACAAUCCAAAGACACAGAGACAAGCCAAUGUCAUUUCAACUUGUCAAAUUUUCAACCAAUGAGUCAUGAGUCAUGAGUCAUUAUCAGAUUCAGUUGUCACGUUUCCAUCCAAUGCCAACAAAACAAAAAUAUAUAGGUAGCAUAUACAGAUCGAUUAACAUUAUCUCUUUGUCGCUCUCGCGUGUUAGAAAUUUUGUUCUCAUUUACUAGAGUCAGCAGAAUAAGAUCACCAGAUCCGUAACAGUCGUGCUGCACUUCUUCCUCACUUUCUAUUUUCUUUUUCUUCUCCCUCGUCUCUCUUCUAUUUUCUCUUCUUCCUCUUCUUCUUUCUCCCACUUUUUCUCCUCUUCUCCUUGUUUUUCCUUUUCCCCCUUCUCUUCUCCUUCUUUUCUCCUCUCCUCUCCUCUCUUCCUUCUCUUCUCUCUUCCUCUCUUAUC